rnacentral:rRNA from 1 species
GACGAACGCUGGCGGCGUGCCUAAUACAUGCAAGUCGAGCGAAGUUUUUCUGGUGCUUGCACUAGAAAAACUUAGCGGCGCACGGGUGAGUCACACGUAAAGAACCUGCCUCAUAGACUGGGACAACUAUUGGAAACGAUAUCUAAUACCGGAUAACAGUAUUUCUCGCAUGAGAGAUAUUUAAAAGUUUGUUAUGCUAACACUAUGAGAUGGCUUUGCGGUGCAUUAGCUAGUUGGUGGGGUAAAGGCCCACCAAGGCGACGAUGCAUAGCCGACCUGAGAGGGUGAUCGGCCACACUGGGACUGAGACACGGCCCAGACUCCUACGGGAGGCAGCAGUAGGGAAUCUUCCGCAAUGGGCGAAAGCCUGACGGAGCAACGCCGCGUGAGUGAAGAAGGAUUUCGGUUCGUAAAGCUCUGUUGUUAGGGAAGAAUGGAUAUGUAGUAACUAUACAUGUAAGAGACGGUACCUAACCAGAAAGCCACGGCUAACUACGUG